AAGACUAUAGACCUGCGGAGUACCUGCGGAAGGAUCAUUAUUGAGUGAAGGGCCCGUGGCCCGACCUCCCACCCUUGCUUAAAUACUAUUUGCUUUGGUGUGCCAGUCUUGACUGCCCAGCAUCCGCUUGGAUGCUGGGUUGUGCACACCAGAGGACCUCCAAAUCUUGAUUGAUUGUAUUUUCUGAGUUAUAUUUAAUUAUGAAAACUUUCAACAAUGGAUCUCUAGAUCGGAAGAGCA
rnacentral:misc_RNA from 1 species